GGUUAAGCGACUAAGCGUACACGGUGGAUGCCCUGGCAGUCAGAGGCGAUGAAGGACGUGCUAAUCUGCGAAAAGCGUCGGUAAGGUGAUAUGAACCGUUACAGCCGGCGAUGUCCGAAUGGGGAAACCCAGUGUGAUUCGUCACACUAUCGUUAACUGAAUACAUAGGUUAACGAGGCGAACCGGGGGAACUGAAACAUCUAAGUACCCCGAGGAAAAGAAAUCAACCGAGAUUCCCCCAGUAGCGGCGAGCGAACGGGGAGCAGCCCAGAGUCUGAAUCAGCUUGUGUGUUAGUGGAACGGUCUGGAAAGUCCGACGGUACAGGGUGAUAGUCCCGUACACCAAAAUGCACAGGCUGUGAACUCGAAGAGUAGGGCGGGACACGUGGUAUCCUGUCUGAAUAUGGGGGGACCAUCCUCCAAGGCUAAAUACUCCUGACUGACCGAUAGUGAACCAGUACCGUGAGGGAAAGGCGAAAAGAACCCCGGCGAGGGGAGUGAAAAAGAACCUGAAACCGUGUACGUACAAGCAGUGGGAGCACCUUCGGGUGUGACUGCGUACCUUUUGUAUAAUGGGUCAGCGACUUAUAUUCUGUAGCAAGGUUAACCGUAUAGGGGAGCCGCAGGGAAACCGAGUCUUAACUGGGCGUUAAGUUGCAGGGUAUAGACCCGAAACCCGGUGAUCUAGCCAUGGGCAGGUUGAAGGUUGGGUAACACUAACUGGAGGACCGAACCGACUAAUGUUGAAAAAUUAGCGGAUGACUUGUGGCUGGGGGUGAAAGGCCAAUCAAACCGGGAGAUAGCUGGUUCUCCCCGAAAGCUAUUUAGGUAGCGCCUCGUGAAUUCAUCUUCGGGGGUAGAGCACUGUUUCGGCUAGGGGGUCAUCCCGACUUACCAACCCGAUGCAAACUACGAAUACCGAAGAAUGUUAUCACGGGAGACACACGGCGGGUGCUAACGUCCGUCGUGAAGAGGGAAACAACCCAGACCGCCAGCUAAGGUCCCAAAGUCAUGGUUAAGUGGGAAACGAUGUGGGAAGGCACAGACAGCCAGGAUGUUGGCUUAGAAGCAGCCAUCAUUUAAAGAAAGCGUAAUAGCUCACUGGUCGAGUCGGCCUGCGCGGAAGAUGUAACGGGGCUAAACCAUGCACCGAAGCUGCGGCAGCGACACUAUGUGUUGUUGGGUAGGGGAGCGUUCUGUAAGCCUGCGAAGGUGACCUGUGAGGGUUGCUGGAGGUAUCAGAAGUGCGAAUGCUGACAUAAGUAACGAUAAAGCGGGUGAAAAGCCCGCUCGCCGGAAGACCAAGGGUUCCUGUCCAACGUUAAUCGGGGCAGGGUGAGUCGACCCCUAAGGCGAGGCCGAAAGGCGUAGUCGAUGGGAAACAGGUUAAUAUUCCUGUACUUGGUGUUACUGCGAAGGGGGGACGGAGAAGGCUAUGUUAGCCGGGCGACGGUUGUCCCGGUUUAAGCAUGUAGGCUGAUUAUCCAGGCAAAUCCGGAUAAUCAAGGCUGAGGUGUGAUGACGAGGCACUACGGUGCUGAAGUAACAAAUGCCCUGCUUCCAGGAAAAGCCUCUAAGCAUCAGGUAACAUCAAAUCGUACCCCAAACCGACACAGGUGGUCAGGUAGAGAAUACCAAGGCGCUUGAGAGAACUCGGGUGAAGGAACUAGGCAAAAUGGUGCCGUAACUUCGGGAGAAGGCACGCUGGUGUGUAGGUGAAGUCCCUGCGGAUGGAGCUGAGACCAGUCGAAGAUACCAGCUGGCUGCAACUGUUUAUUAAAAACACAGCACUGUGCAAACACGAAAGUGGACGUAUACGGUGUGACGCCUGCCCGGUGCCGGAAGGUUAAUUGAUGGGGUUAUCCGUAAGGAGAAGCUCUUGAUCGAAGCCCCGGUAAACGGCGGCCGUAACUAUAACGGUCCUAAGGUAGCGAAAUUCCUUGUCGGGUAAGUUCCGACCUGCACGAAUGGCGUAAUGAUGGCCAGGCUGUCUCCACCCGAGACUCAGUGAAAUUGAACUCGCUGUGAAGAUGCAGUGUACCCGCGGCAAGACGGAAAGACCCCGUGAACCUUUACUAUAGCUUGACACUGAACAUUGAGCCUUGAUGUGUAGGAUAGGUGGGAGGCUUUGAAGCGUGGACGCCAGUCUGCGUGGAGCCAACCUUGAAAUACCACCCUUUAAUGUUUGAUGUUCUAACGUUGGCCCCUUACCGGGGUUGCGGACAGUGUCUGGUGGGUAGUUUGACUGGGGCGGUCUCCUCCCAAAGCGUAACGGAGGAGCACGAAGGUUAGCUAAUCCUGGUCGGACAUCAGGAGGUUAGUGCAAUGGCAUAAGCUAGCUUGACUGCGAGCGUGACGGCGCGAGCAGGUGCGAAAGCAGGUCAUAGUGAUCCGGUGGUUCUGAAUGGAAGGGCCAUCGCUCAACGGAUAAAAGGUACUCCGGGGAUAACAGGCUGAUACCGCCCAAGAGUUCAUAUCGACGGCGGUGUUUGGCACCUCGAUGUCGGCUCAUCACAUCCUGGGGCUGAAGUAGGUCCCAAGGGUAUGGCUGUUCGCCAUUUAAAGUGGUACGCGAGCUGGGUUUAGAACGUCGUGAGACAGUUCGGUCCCUAUCUGCCGUGGGCGCUGGAGAAUUGAGGGGGGCUGCUCCUAGUACGAGAGGACCGGAGUGGACGCAUCACUGGUGUUCGGGUUGUCAUGCCAAUGGCACUGCCCGGUAGCUAAAUGCGGAAGAGAUAAGUGCUGAAAGCAUCUAAGCACGAAACUUGCCCCGAGAUGAGUUCUCCCUGAGACUUUAAGUCUCCUGAAGGAACGUUAAAGACGAUGACGUUGAUAGGCCGGGUGUGUAAGCGCAGCGAUGCGUUGAGCUAACCGGUACUAAUGAACCGUGAGGCUUAACCUU
rnacentral:rRNA from 1 species